GAUUACAUGACAAAAUUUUCAAUCCAGGACCGAGUUUAAGCUUGGGGUUGAAAUUUCAACCCUGCUUCAGCAACCCCCAGGGUUGAACUCGGCCCUGGGUUGAAAAUUUUGUCAUGUAAU